ACGAUGAACCAGGCCGCCGCGGGGGGCCGCGAAAAAGUCCGUUUAUCCGGGCACGCGGUCUUCCCGAGGAAAGUCCGGGCUCCGCAGGGCAUGACGCCGGGUAACUCCCGGGCGGAGGGUAUGAAUCUUCCGGCUUAAAACCGGCGGAUAUUCAUUUGUCUUCCGACAGACAGCGCAACAGAAAGGAUACCGCCCUGGAAGUUCAAAGGGUUUCGGCCUUUUGGCAUCCGGGGUAAGGGUGAAACGGCGGGGUAAGAGCCCGCCUCGGCGGCGGCAACGCCGCCGGAAAGAUUCCGGCUAAGCCGGAAAAAGGCAAGCCUCGUCAGGAGCAAAAUCAAGCGGCGCGAAAGGGUGUUCCCUUGCCGGCGGCCCGCCGGUUAAGCGCGGGUAGAUUGCGGGGUUACCCCAAAGGCCGUCCGCAAGGUUCGGCCCAAGACAGAUGGCGGCAGGGCCGCUUUCGCGGCCAUACAGAACCCGGCUUAUGGUUCAUCGUUUUU
rnacentral:RNase_P_RNA from 1 species